UGCGGGUGAUUCAAGCCAUCAAUCUCCUCCCUCCCAGAUAAGUUUUCUUUCUUCCUCAUUGUUUUAUUUCUUAUUUGUACUGUUGUCUGUUUUGAUUCCAUCACUUUACUUGUACCUGCUACUGCUUCAUUCCAAUCUACCUUUUGUUUUCCUUUGAUGUUUAUUUCCUGAAUCUUCUCCUUUGUGUGUAGGUUUGCUUCCUCCUGAGACGCUUGUGUGUGAUCUCUCUCAAUUGAUCCUCUUCGGGUUGGGUUUUGCACUACGCCAAGUUUACAUCGGAGAUAUUUGAACCGCUUUGUCUCGAGUGGUUUGGAUUCUUCCCAAUAGCUAUGGUUUAUGUGUUAUCGCAAUAGAUUGGAACUGCCUUGGUGGUGUCGACUCUCAUUUCUCCCAACAGUCUCUUCAACCAUACUGCAUGAUUGGUGGCCGCACACAACGCCAUAUACUCUGCUUCUGCUGUAGAUUGUGCAAUGGUGUCUUGCUUUUGUGUUUGCCAAGUAAACACAGCACUUCCCAAGGUUUUGUUCAGUAGGUUUCGAUAGACUCCUAGACAAGUAAGAUGCAGCAAAAGCAAGGUCAGGCCGAGUUGCUCCAAGAGGUGUGCUCAUAGGAUUACAGCUCCUCAUUCCAAAAUUUUCCAACAACUGCUGCGCAUACUUCCUUUGGCUCAGAAACACUCCCUUUUCUGUGUUCCACUUAUGCUGGGAGGCCAAGGCAAUUAUAGUUCUGAUUGUGUCAUGCCUGGAUACUGGAGCAAACGUUUCACCAUAAUCUUCUCCAUACGUUUGGGUUUCCUUACCAGCUCCCAUGUAUCAUUCUCGUUGAUGAUGUAAAUUUCAUCAUCCAUAGCAAUCCUCCAUUCCUUGCUGUUUAUAGCUUCUUCAAAGUCUUCUGACUUUGUGAACAAUUCGCGAAGAGCUCCCAGACUCAGUUUCUCCUUCACUUAGUUGAAACGGUAUCCACACAUGACAAACGCAGCCGAAAACCUUGAGAUGGCCCACAGAGGGUUUGUGACCACUCCAGACCUCAAGUGGUGUUUUCUAGUUUAGAGCUUUGGUGGGGAGUCUAUUUUGAAGAUAAGUUGCUUUAAAUAUCGUUUCAGCCCAUAACACAUCUGGCAUUCCUUUAUCUCUUAACAUGCUUCUUGCCAUGUCCAACAACGUCCGGUUUCUGCGUUCAGCAACACCAUUCUGCUGUGUUUGAGUUUCCACCAUACUCUUGAACAAGGUGGCAAAUGUAUUUGACUUCAGUCUCAGAAAGUACACCCACAACAUGUGUGAAAAAUCAUCUGUAAAAGUUGUGGAAGCCAGAAUGUCCCAGACGUUUAUGCCAAAGUUCUGACAAGUUUUCUUGUUUGGCCAUUCUUACACUCUCCUCAGCUAACUGCAUUCGCAACAAACUUUCUUCUUUGGUCAUGUGGCUCGUGGCACCACUGUCUAUUAACCAGAUUUCAUCACUGUUGGUUCUCCACAGGCAAAACAACCUUUCCUUGGUCUAAAUUGCUUGCUAAAGAACUGAGAUUCAUAGUUUUGAGAAAGAAUCACGCUCACCGGAAUCGACCGUGCUCUGAUACCAUGUUCAUAAUUACUGUUUAGCAGCCUCUCAUCUCUUAUCUUAAAGCUUUCUUGACAUUCAUUACACACCUUACAACAUAUUUAUACUUAGGUUAAGCUUUUAACCUAUA